rnacentral:rRNA from 1 species
AUUGAACGCUGGCGGCAGGCCUAACACAUGCAAGUCGAACGCGUGGCGGAGUGGUGAGUACUGUCUGGGAAACUUCCUGAUGGAGGGGGAGACCUACUGGGAACGGUACCUAUUACCCCACACCCUAAUCUAUGUCCCUAGGGGAUUAGCUUGUUGGUGUGGUAACGGCUCACCAAGGCGACGAUCCCUAGCUGGUCUGAGAGGAUGACCAGCCACACUGGAACUGAGACACGGUCCAGACUCCUACGGGAGGCAGCAGUGGGGAAUAUGGCACAAUGGGGGAAAGCCUGAUGCAGCCAUGCCGCGUGUAUGAAGAAGGCCUUCGGGUUGUAAAGUACUUUCAGCGGGGAGGCGUUACUCGCAGAAGAAGCACCGGCUAACUCCGUGCCAGCAGCCGCGGUAAUUC